rnacentral:sRNA from 1 species
GCUGGGUGCAGUAGUGAAUGCCUGUAAUCCUAGUAACUCAGGAGGCUAAGGCAGGAGGAUCGCAAGUUCAAAGCAGCCUCAGCAAACCAACUUAGUGAGACCCUGUCUCAA